ensembl:lncRNA
UGGGCUCCUGUAAGAGCCAGCCACUGAGAAGUGAGCAUCUUUUAGCGUUGGGCUGCUGUACAGCUAAGGAGUUUUUUUAUCAGCUAGGUGCCUAGUCUCAAGAAGAAAGCAUGAUGCACCAACUCUGCAUCUUAAUUAUUUUGAAAAGGCAACUGCUUUUGGCAUCAAUGAAAUUGGAUAUUAGAAACAGUGACCUUUUCUGUGGCCUGGCAUGGGGUGGAUGGUGAUGCAAUGAUAUAGUCUUGAGAGCACAUCUAAAGCUAUCUGGACAGCUAGACAAAUGCUAAGAUAUUCUCAUGGCACCAAUUGUGAGAUGUUCUACCUCAUCUUUCAGCAUGGAUGUGGUCUUCCCAGUUUGUCUUGUAGUUAAGGUUUCUACAUCCAACCUGCUUGAAGGUUUUACAGGGUUGUGUCAUUUGACAAAAGUUAAAAAUGUCCAAGAUUAUAACAGGCUUGGUGUGUUUCUAAAGUGAUGCAUCACAUAGAAAGGUAACAAGUAAAACCACAAUGAAUCCCUUGAAUGUAUUUGUUAGAAUGGCAGCUCUAAGCACAGAUUCUACUUCUGUUAAUAUAAAUGUUCUUGGACUUAAAACUUGAAAACAAAACAGAAGGAGAGUUCAGAAAAAUGUGACACCCAACAUUAAGGUAUACACAUACUGCAUUUGGGGUGACAGCAUAAACAUGAGCAUAUUCUCAUAGCUGUGCAACUGUCUUGCUCUUUUCCCUCCCAGUUCCACUAUUUGUGUCAGUCUUCUCCAAUCUGGUGCAUGAAGUGUUUUGUAGGUGUGAGAGCAAACACCAGACUUCACCAAUAUGUUUUGCCAUGCCUUAUGUCUAUUGCUUUGAUGCCCUGCUUACAGCUAGUGAAGGCAACAAUCCUAUUUAGGUCUUAGUUUCUGCCCCUGACAGACUCUGCCAGUAUUAGCAUAAAUGAUGGUUGAAUGCAGAGUUGGUGUAAGAGACAGCUUGUCUUGCUGAAGCAUCAAAUUGGAAGAUGUCACUGGAUAUGAUGCGCUGCAAAUUAGUAGAUCAGAUUUCAUACUCAACCAGAAAGUUUUUUCUAGUAUUCUAGUAAAAACACUUCACUAUCCUUACACAAAAAGAAAACUAAUACUUGAGUACAGAGAAAGUAAUCCUAAACACAACUUUUGUUAUUUCUGUAGUGCGAUACAGGCACAAGUAUGCAGCAGCCUGACCUAAAUGAAACGACAUGCUGAGUUGAAAAGCUUGUUGUGUAAUCUGUUCUGUAUAUGUUUCGUUGAAACUUUCUGUUUAUUUCCUUGCAUGGGCUCCACACUAAGGAUCUUUCAUUUGAGAUGCCAGCUGACCUCACUUGUGGGUGCUAACAUGUUAUUACUUGAUAUUCAGCCAUGCAUUUCUUCAGCCUCUGCCCCUAUCACUUGUUUCCACUAUUUUCAGUGAGCCUAGCUUGCACUUUAGAGUUUUGUGUUCUUGCUGUAUUCCCUGAACUGUUUAUUAACUAUGCUAUAAUAAUGACUAUUAACUAUUAUUAACUAAUAGCUGUGUUUUGGAAAGGCUGACUUGUAGUGGAGCUUUAUGCUUUUGGCAUUGGGAAUUCUCUUGCUUGGGGGCACCCAAGAAAUUAAUUUCUUACAUUCAUUUUCAUAAUCAAUGGGUAGGGACUAUUCCAAGUAGGAGUCUGCCCUGGCUUACAGGAGUUCACUUACAUUAAGUGAAGUAAUGUUUAUUAGUCGGGAAACAACUUAAUCUCCCAUAAAGAUACUUGAGUGAGAUGUGAGCAGAGAAUCUAAUCUUCUGUGGAGGAAUGCUAUGGUGGAUGCAUAGCUUAAAUCUGGCUGGCAGGCCUGUCUCAUAACUGCAUUGCUAGUUUCCUUUCCUUUUAAGAGGGAUUAGUAAGUGAAACUACUAAGGGUGUCUGAAAUGCUCAAAACUAUCUGAGAAAUGUCUGUGUUUAAAGAGCACAUCUGUUAUCCACAUUGGUUGGCCAGUCUGACCAACUGAAGUUGCCUUUUCUGUGUUUUGGCAGUACCUAUCUCUAACAAACUUUGUUUGCAGUGGGCACGUCAACUUCAGUCUGAGUGCUGGAAGUGUUUCACAGUUACCAGCUAUGUAGUCACAACUUCAUUUGGCUGCUGUUUUUUACUGUAUUAAAAAGACACUGAACAAAAUGGACUGGUACUGAGUUUUGGUGCACUAAGGAAUCUGAGCACAAAACUCUUCCUUUUCCAGCUUUCUUUCCCCUGACAUCAUCUUAGAAUCAAUGAAUCUUCUCUGAAUGGAACCAUCCCAGCUGACAGCCUUGCCUGUGCUAUCUCUUCAGUGCUCUUGAAAUGCUUCUAACUCACUUCCCACAACCAUAUGGCUGUCAGGAGGAUUUAAGCUCUGUGCUCAGUUGUGCUUUCACUUCCAUGGGCAGAGGAGAAGCUUGCCCUCUGAUAUUCAGGCAAAACAACCACAUCUUCCUAAUAUAAGAGAAGGUGCAGGCUGAUUUCUCAGAAAUGACCUAACUAGAAGACUAACUACAGCAUGUGGAAAAUGAAACAGGAAAAGGCUUCAGAAGAAAACUGAAAUGGAUGUGUGGUAACAGCAGUGAGGCUACUGUCUUCAAUCAAUGGUGGAAACUACUGAUCAGUAAUUACUGUAACUGAUGGCUCCAAUGUAUGAAGUCAAAUGCAUUGUAGUUCCCUGAGUCUGCUGCAUCUGGUUCCUUACAGUUCCAUGUCACUUUUUGGAAGGCAUUAUCACAGCACUGCUCUGAGCACUGAU